GGUAGGGUCGCCGAGAGUUAGGUGGCAGGCUGUAGUCCUGCUAACAUGGGUUUAAAUCCUGUUUCUACC
rnacentral:tRNA from 1 species